UCCUCGUAGCUCAGUGGUAGAGCGGUCGGCUGGUUAACUGGACUGGUCGUAGGUGUUCGAAUCCUACUUGGGGAG
rnacentral:tRNA from 1 species